rnacentral:lncRNA from 1 species
AGGUUGAGAGAUGAUCUUGUGAUAAAAUAUUUGUUGUUAGUGCAACUAUCAAGGGUAAAUCCUUGAGUAUGGAAUGAGUCACAUGGUUUGAGGUGUAACCAAUGUAAAUUUGGGAUGUUUUUUCUUUUCCUUUAUCUAUUUAUAUUUUUUUAUUCAUACUUUCGCGCAUAAACUCCGCUUAUUCUCUUUUCUUAAAAUGAAUCAAGU